AAGGAUCAUUACUGAACGAAAUGGGUGGCAAGGCUGUCGCUGGCUUAAAUGAGCAUGUGCACGUCUUUUUGUCACUUACUUCAUUCUCUCUUCCACCUGUGCACUCUUUGUAGACACUUGGGAUGUGAGAGAGGGGUUGGCAUUGAUUUGUCGGACUUCUCUUGAUAUUGAAAAUCUGGGUGUUUAUGUAUUUUUUGACAUACACGGUUGAAUGUCUAUAGAAUGAAAUUAUAGGCUCUUGUCAGCCUUUAAAUGAUAAAACACAACUUUCAACAACGGAUCUCUUGGCUCUCGCAUCGAUGAAGAACGCAGCGAAAUGCGAUAAGUAAUGUGAAUUGCAGAAUUCAGUGAAUCAUCGAAUCUUUGAACGCAUCUUGCGCUCCUUGGUAUUCCGAGGAGCAUGCCUGUUUGAGUGUCAUUAAAUAUCUCAAAAAUCUUGUGCUUUUGUUGGCAUAGGACUUUUGGACAUUGGGAGUUGCCGGCUGCUGGUAAAGUAGUGGGCUCUUCUGAAAAGCAUUAGUUGAGGAGCUUUGCACUCUUAUUGGUGUGAUAAACUAUCUAUGCCAAGAGAUGCUUCAUGAUCCUCUGCCGUCUAACUGUCUUUAUAAGACAAUAUGAUAAACUUGACCUCAAAUCAGGUAGGACUACCCGCUGAACUUAA
rnacentral:rRNA from 1 species